GACGAACGCUGGCGGCGUGCUUAACACAUGCAAGUCGAACGCUGAAGACCUGGCUUUUGUUGGGUUGGAUGAGUGGCGAACGGGUGAGUAACACGUGAGUAACCUGCCCUCUUCUUUGGGAUAACGCCCGGAAACGGGUGCUAAUACUGGAUAUUCACUGAUCUUCGCAUGGGGGUUGGUGGAAAGGUUUGUUCUGGUGGGGGAUGGGCUCGCGGCCUAUCAGCUUGUUGGUGGGGUGAUGGCCUACCAAGGCUUUGACGGGUAGCCGGCCGGAGAGGGUGACCGGUCACAUUGGGACUGAGAUACGGCCCAGACUCCUGCGGGAGGCAGCAGUGGGGAAUAUUGCACAAUGGGCGAAAGCCUGAUGCAGCGACGCCGCGUGAGGGAUGGAGGCCUUCGGGUUGUAAACCUCUUUCGCUCAUGGUCAAGCCGCAACUGUGGGUUGUGGUGAGGGUAGUGGGUAAAGAAGCGCCGGCUAACUACGUG
rnacentral:rRNA from 1 species